rnacentral:rRNA from 1 species
AUUGAACGCUGGCGGCAGGCUUAACACAUGCAAGUCGAGCGGGGUGAUGGUGCUUGCACUAUCACUUAGCGGCGGACGGGUGAGUAAUGCUUAGGAAUCUGCCUAUUAGUGGGGGACAACACCUCGAAAGGGAUGCUAAUACCGCAUACGUCCUACGGGAGAAAGCAGGGGAUCACUUGUGACCUUGCGCUAAUAGAUGAGCCUAAGUCGGAUUAGCUAGUUGGUGGGGUAAAGGCCUACCAAGGCGACGAUCUGUAGCGGGUCUGAGAGGAUGAUCCGCCACACUGGGACUGAGACACGGCCCAGACUCCUACGGGAGGCAGCAGUGGGGAAUAUUGGACAAUGGGGGGAACCCUGAUCCAGCCAUGCCGCGUGUGUGAAGAAGGCCUUAUGGUUGUAAAGCACUUUAAGCGAGGAGGAGGCUCUUUUGGUUAAUACCCAAGGUGAGUGGACGUUACUCGCAGAAUAAGCACCGGCUAACUCUGUGCCAGCAGCCGCGGUAAAAC